UAUUAAUUUUUCCCUCCUGGAGCCUGUGCGUGUUUUAUGUUUUAAUAACUUUAUCAACUCAGUGAACUUGCGCGAGAGCACCGGCAGCUUCUCUCGCCCCCUCCUUUUCCCCCCUGUCUCUAACUGGCCUCUGGGUCACUUCCAAAAGGGGCUUCCUUCCAAUUCUCCUGGUUAUGGCUUCACCGUUGGCUGGCGUGGUCAGUACGGCAGGCAAAAUUAACCCAACUUACAGAUACCCUGCACAUUUUGCAAGUUCUCUUUAUGAUGACCUGCAUUGGUACCUGUUUUCGCUAACUGGAAGAAAUGUGAAGAGGAUUUUCGCAGUUAGGAAGAAAGUGGCUGAUCUGCCUUCACUCCACUAGAAUGAAAGCUCUGUGAAGGGAGGAACUUUCUGUAGUUGGCUCACUUCUGAACCCCCGGCGCCAGCAGAAUCCCUGGAACCAAGGGGGAGCCCCAUCAUAUUUGUUGAGCUAAUGAGUGACUUUUCCCUCAAACCUGAGCGAGGUGGGAACGCUAGAGGCACCUGGGAGAAGGUGGGCAAGAGCUCCAGGAGGCAGUUGGAUGCACGUGUACCUGUGGGGAAUGUCCUUCUGCUGGCAUGUGCUGUUGUCACACAAAGAGGCUGCAGUCUGCUCCCCAGGAAUCCUUUGGGGAUUUG